AAUUUUAUAAUAAAAUUACCUAAAAUUUAAUAUUAUAAAAAAAAUAUAAAUAUUAUUUUUAUAAUUAUAAACUAUUAUAUUAAGUACUUAUUAUUUUUACUUAUAUUAGAUAUAAUUAUAGCUAAUAAGCUAGCUAUAUUAUUUUAUAAAGAAAUUAAAUAUAAAUUUAGUAUUUUAAAAGAAAUAAUAUUAAAUUAAAAGUUAUUAUUUAUUAGUAAAUUCUAGUUAAACUUA
rnacentral:tRNA from 1 species